GGAAAGCUUUGCACUGAAGAAAUAAAAGGGCUUUAUGUUUAUUUGCCUCCUGAGAAGCCCAUUGUACUUAAUUUUCCUCCCUGUUCCAUAGUGAAGGAAGAGUACUUUCUAAACAUGAAGGCAUCCUGGAAAAGACAGAGACCAUGCUCUGCAAUAAGAGCAAACAGAGCAGACCAUGUAGAAGAGCCUGAAUGUGAGCUACCCUUCCAUACUGAAGGCCUACAUAUACCUGACAUAGACUUGGAUCAGCUGUUUUCAGUCUAAGCUGAUAUGCUCUGCCUGCUGAAAUGCUGCUGCCUCAUGAGAACUGCAGAAAACUCGGCUCCAUUUGCACUUCCUACCGAGGGUGCCCUGAUGGGACUCUGGGAGAAUAAAAGGACACAUCAGAGGAAAAGCUAGAUCUGCAGUAGCUCUCUUCAAGAGCCCUGCUCAUUGGUUGGUUGGUUGAUUUUCAGAGCUGCAAAGGAUGUAAGUAUUUGUCUUUUUUUUUCCCCCCAUCACAAUGGCUUCAGAUUAAAGCUGUUUGUAUUUUAAUAAUUUCCAUAGCAACAUCUCAUCAGCAUUAAUUUGGCUAAAAAAAAAAGAUAGCUGUGCUUUAUUUGUGGUAUUACAGUAAAGUCUAUAAAACAUCGCUCGUAGAAGGCGUUUUGAAAUGUGUGUGAAAAAAGUAGAGAAAUCAGGGGAGAUCAUAUUUUAUAAAGCCAGAUAAAGUUGCUGGCAGUUGGUAGCAUGGAAGAGAUAAUAGAAAAUAGGGUUUGCUUGUUAGUUUUAUAAAAAUAUACAGUAUUUAAUUCAGAAGUGUAGAGUUGGAAUAGCAACCUCCAUAUAUGUAGCAAGGAAUAGCUACUCUGUACUAUUUUUUUCAUGUAGAUGAAUCCAUGUGGUUUUAGCAUAGGCUACUUUGGAAACCACAAAAAGGCCCUUUCAGUACAGAGUAUGAGCAUCCACAUGGGCACUUGGAUCACGGUAACUAAAUUCACACCCUGGCAAGUGUCACAAUGGAUUCCCCAAACAGCAACAAGUAAUUGCUGUGAGCUGGCUGCUGUUGAGAGAGACUCGAAGGACUCCCAUGGUGGAGAGGUGGUUAGUGUCACUCGCAGGCUAAAAGAGCUCGAAGUGACGGAAGAGGAAAUGACUCAGGGCAAGAGAGGAAAAUCAACUGAUGGCACUGUUUAUUAAAGGAGGUGGAGGAAAAAUAAGCAUAACAUCAUCAGGUCUGUGCAAAGUAUUUCCAAGGUAUGAAAUUGCUAGCAUGAAUUAUGUAUCGGCAUAUCAGAUAAUCCUGUAUUUAGAACAUAGACAACAGCUGAAAUGUUGUUGUUGGUUUUUGUGUUGUUUUUUUUUUUUUUUUCCCUGUCCUCCCCUCCCUUUUCCUCUCCUCCCACCCACUCUUUUUCUCCUUUGUAAACUCUGGUGGUUUAGAUAAACUGAAACAUUGAUCUAGCCUCAUCUCCCACCAGAGUCUGCAAAAGGAAAUAUCUGCAAGCAAGAUGUUAUAUAACCAGGACCAGUUAACCAUGUGCAUCCUUCCUUUAUAGUGACUCCUCUGUUGUGGAUUCAACCUUCAAGUUACACAUUUUCAGUACAAGUAGAACAUACAAUUUGAGAACGCAAGCAUAAACAGUCUACCUUAUUUAUUCAUACCCCAAUUUGUAAACGAAAAGCAGUAGCAUAACCACUUACAUUAGUCUGACAGUAAACAAAACAAAAGAAGUCUUGAAAUGGGCAAAAAAGCAGUUCUAUAUGUCAUUUAUAGGAAUCCCUUCGCACAAAGAGAUUUCAAAGCCAUUGAUGUACACUGUGCUCUAAGCAAAUUUUUACUCCCUUUUGUGUCUGUGUCUGAAAUAGAGCACAUUCUGACAGACUCUGUACAUUUACGUUGUAUGAGCUUUGUAAAAAAACUGCAAUGUAGAAACUGCUGCAUGGGUUUGUGUGUGUUUUAUUUAAUAAUUUAAAUUAAUAGGGGAGCUAAGCAGACAGAAUGCAUUUGUUAGCUGAAGUUUUGUCAGGAUUUUGAGUUUAAUAUUACUCUUGUUAGUCUGGGACAAGCUUGGAAUAGGCUAGGAAGUAGGAUUUAGGUAAAAGGUACCAUCAUUUUAUGUAGGAGCCAGCCUUCUACAUAGUAGGCUAGAGGACGUCAGCAUUCACAAGUAAGAGCUAAAUCUAAGCAUGUAAUUUGGUGCCUGGCAGUUCAUAUUGACAUAAACACACCCGUUGUGGUCAGUUUUUGUGUUUGGGGAUAGGGCUCGCUACUUUGCUGAGCUUCUGUUUGAGAAUUGUCCUCCCAGCACUAGACUUUGUAACACUGGCUUCUUUCCUCAAGCAUCUGAGCUGUUUGUUUGCCACAUUUUCAUGGUAACAAGUUUAGCAGUGAAGUAGUAGGCUUUGAAAAAGCGUAUUUGAUAAAGACAAUAGCGUCUGUUAAGGGCUGAGGAGGGACUUCUGGUGUGACAUCGUUAUAUGCCACACUAAAUACUUCAAACAUUUGUGGGAAGCCAUUCUUGAAAUGCUGCUAAAGAAAAGAUACAUUCUUACCCUGCCCCCACACAGCUAAAACUCUGCUUUGCUACGUUUAUCCAUUGUAGCUCAUGCAUUCUGUAGGAUUUGUGUACCUUCUAUUCAUAGAACAGCUUGUUUAAAUGAAAACGCAUGCCUGUUUUGCUCUAUAAAAAGACCUUAUUUCUACAGUCUCCUUUGCUUCUGUUUGAGACAGAUCUUCCCUCAUUACCCGCCUCUGUCAUAGUACAACUGUUAGAUGCACACACACUUGAAGAGAAUGGCAGCAAUUAAACAACGUAGGUAUUGAUUUCAUUGCCAAGUAAAGCCUGGAUUCCUGUUUCAGUGUGAUCUUGUACUCUACCAUGCACAGCUGCUGUCACUCCAAGACCUGCAUCUAAGUUAAAUGUAAACGUAGGUGGAACUUUUUUGUUGGUGUACAUGUGCACACAUACAUGUGCAUGGACAGAUGUAGUCUGAAACCAAGGGAAGUCAAUGGAAAGACUCAGCACUGACAUGACUGUGCUUUAUGUUAAGAUUUACAUCUGUUAAAAUUGAUUUUUCUUCCCUUUUGCCUUUAAUGUGUCACCAAACAGAAAUUAUGUUUGUCUCUGUAUAAUGUCUUGGACAAUACAGCUUCUGAAUAGGAUUUUACUGAUUCCUGCAUAUGAAUGUAUGUGAUACAAGUUUGUACUCACCUAGCCAGCCUUCAUCUUGUUUCUCCCUAAGACAAAGAAACUGCAGAACAGAAUAGACUCAAAUAAAGUCAGCUGAAUUAGAUAUCUGUAAUGCACUUAAACUAUGUUGUUUGUUCACACACACACAUAUAUAUAUAUACAACCCCUAUUUCUGAUUGUACUGUGAUGCUAAAUCUUUCUCUGCCUUCUGCCAAUGAGUAUUUUUGUAAUUAAGGUUUAAAGGAUGGACAUGAACUGAAAAGUUCAGGUGCAACUAUGACUGUAUCUUUAAGGAGUAAAGUUAAUUUUAAGCUUUUUUAAUUCAGGAAAAACAUUUAUUCGAGCCUCACAGACAAAUGAAAUUUCAGACUGAUUUCACUCUAAGCUUGGGGAAAUGUAGCUAUUAACUAUUUCUAAGGAGUGUUUCUCUGUUAAAAAGAAAGUGUUGAUGAAAAUACAAGAGUGAUGUAAGAUGAAACCGGUCUAUAAGGAGCAGGACAAACGUAAGACAUGCAAACUAAGGAAGAAAAUCAAGACUCGUGAAAGCAAGUCAGAAAUUACUCUUUCAUUUAGGAAUCUAUGUGGCAAAGGGGAAUUUUUAUCUCAAAGAGAGCUAUUGAGGAAAAAGAGCAAGCUAAGCUCAUUCCCCGCUGCCUUCUGUCAGGCUGACUGUAGGCUCUUGAAAUCUGUUUGAAAUGGUAACAGACCUUCUAGCUUUAAAAUGCUACAGCAAGAAUGAAAUGGAAGAGUAGACAGCAAGGAGGAACAUAAGAAAGUAAUCUUGCAUUACAUGCUUUAGCUGUCAAGAAACCGUGAGUUAAGAGAACUAACUGGGUAGAGGUGGGGAUUGGUUUGUUUCUAGGAUAAAAAAUAUAAGAGAAAAAGCAAAAGAGAAGAGAGAAAUGAUUUUACUGCCUUGAUUAUUGCACACCCCCCAAAAAUCUCUUUGUUCUAUUUUUUUUUUUCACAGCCACAAGCCCUAAAUAAACAUCAGCAUCCUUGCUAAUUAUGUAUGUUAAGGUGCUCUGAGAACUGCCUGGAAGCCAAAUGUAUUCCAUGGUGUCCUAAACACUGUGCUCCACAGUCAUUCCCUCUCCAUAAUUGUAGGGUGAGGAUAGGGGUAACAGUCUUCAGGGUCUUAUAUUUUGUGAACUAUACUAUUUGCACAAUGACAUUUUGCAGCCCUAUAUCAUCUUCCAUUCCUGGGUCUCGAACAGAUUUAUAAGCUUUACGAGCAGAGAUGCUCUAUAGGCAUUUCAGAAGAAUUCUUCAAAAGCCACUAAGUGACAUUCCUUGUUUGUGAAGAACUGCUCUUGACAAAAAGCAGAGCUGUGCUUCUGUGUUUGUCUUCCUGAUAGAAAAUGUAUCUGUCAGCUCUUAUGCUGAUACAUUGCUAUACCCACCUUUCACAUCAUCAGGCUUUCACUCUCCCCCUUGCCCCAUCCAUGUGCCCUGGUUAAGUAGAUCGCUCUUCUCAUGCCCCUUGCAUCAGCAGCAGUGGUGGCAGGUGAGCCCUCCCUGGCAAGCAUGCUGUGGAAAGAGCAGAAUUACAUCUCCUGCAGAGACAUAUUUGCCUCAGCAUCUUUAUCCUUUUGUGCCGCAAAGCUUAAGUCGAUACAUGACAUGAAGAAAGAUUUAGCAUCGCUAGUAGGUGAUGCUUUUACAGGCAUGGAAAACUUCACAGAUGAGCUCUGAGCCUGCUGCAGAAGCACCUGGGCAAGCUUUGUUCUAUGCUGUGUGAGGGCUCAGGCUGGCCUCCCUCUGCAAAAGCAGGGAGGUCAAACCAUGGGGUUCACGUUGCUUGUGCUUAUCAGUGGCUUACAGGAUUACUGGCUAUAGAGGGCUGCUAACCUGCACACAGGACCUACUGGGAAGAGAUAGUAUAAAUGAAUUUAGAUUGUCACUUUGGGGCUGAUCUGUGAAUGUGAGUAGCCACUCCCCGUCCACAAAAAAUCACAUGGAGAACGCCACCAAAAUUAUCUAGCCUUUUAAAACAUAAUUUGGGAACUUAAACAAAGCCAUAGAGAAUCUCAGAAUUCUGUGCUGGCAGUGUGCUUAGGAGCACUCAUCAUGUGUGACUUCUCAGCUGUAGUGAAUAAGGCUUACAAACACAUCUACGGUGCCUGCAGUAGGUGGGAGAAAGCCCGUGCCAGUCAGGAGUGGGGUAGUUCCAACAAGAAAAAGAAGACUUUUGAGGAUUUCAUUAACUCUUUAGUUAUGUCUUCUGUAAAGCUGUGCAGUCUCUGCUCUUUAAAAAUCACUUGCCAUAGACUAUAUCUUCCAGUCAGGCCAAAUCAAGCAGAAGCAUGCACAGUGUCAUGUCAGAAACAUGUGUGCUGCAUCUACACAGCGUAGGGCAACUCUCUGUUCUCCAGUUCUGACACUGCUUGCAUCCAGAUGGAUGCAAACUGCAUGUGAUAGCAUUUCCUAAGCAUACCCAUGGGGCGGACUGUCUCCUCACAAGUUGGGCCUGGGGGCAAGUGCCACAUUGGUCCCCACUCCUGGGAUGGUUCAGCCUUCCUGCAGAAGCAAGAAGAUUGGGAGCAUCUUUAUCAGUAAGCACAUGCUUCCAUCUCCACAAUUGGCAAUACUGGCUGCCGCAGAUUUCAGAGCUCAGCAGGAGAAGCCCUGGCCUCUCACUGAAGCGAGAUCUUGCCUCUGUGAGGAGCAGGCAUGCCUGCCAUCUGGACAGACUUAAGACAAGGCCAGAAGGGUGGUUUGGCCACAGCUCAGUCAUGCUCAGUCCUCAUGCCGCAUGUGAGUGUGAAUGCAGCAAAUCAAAAGCUGACAGGGCGACAAACCCAGUGAUUCACGUUUGCUUCUUAACAAUGACACUUUUCACCCUUUGACCUAUCUGGGGAAGGUCCACUGACAAGGAGCUGCUCCAGAAAUGCGUAUCUCUCUGACUUGGGGCUACAUGAAUGAAGUGGGAUGUCAGCUAAGCACAGGGGGUCACUCAGAUGCCUUUGAAAACUGAGAUUGUGAAUUAACAAUACAAAAGGCAAAUUUGGGGUAGAGAUGCGAUUUACGGGAGGAGGGAAAUGUAAGGAAUUCUCACUUUAACAUUUGAGGGCCUGAAGCGUAUGUCUGUAAAGCUGAUUUCCCUGGACUUACUCUUACAAAAAACUUUUAAGUGUAUUUGUUUCCCUGGGAAACUGAAUUGGCAUAUUUAUUGCAUUGCCUCCAAAAAAUACAUUUUUAUAAAUGGCAGAUUUUUCAGGUAAGUCUGGAUAAUAUCUGACAAGUAAUAAAGGAUAAGUGUUAGGGAAGAAAAAACCAUUCCUCCCACUGAAUCUGAUUUUAAUGAAGUUUUAACAAAUAAUACACUACUACAGUUACUUCUGAUCUCACCUAUAAUAGGAUCAUUCCUGAGUAGCUUCAUUGACUUCAGUAUCUUUAUGUUAGUUUAUACAACUAGAUUCUGAUGUAAGCCACUGUAUGAAAUAUCUGGUAUACUGACCUGUCUGCUUCUUGUUCAUAACUGUUAGGUUCCUGACUACACUGAGAUAACACAAUGCAGUGUUGAUGGAUAUGUCCAUUGCUACAGUCCAAAAUGCCUUUUCAGUGGCUUUUUUUUCCCCCUUUUUUCCCCUUCUCUCUUCUAUAUAUGUACUUAAAUACUAUUUUGGAAGUCACAUUUUUCCAGGCGUCACCUGGUUAUGAGGACCUCUUUAGAGAGAAGUAUUUCAGUGAAGCUCUUUUUAGAAUUACUGUCCCGAGCACCAUGGCAGUUUAAAAUCUCCAGUGCAAAACUGACUGCUGUAGGCAGUGAGAAAGGGGGGGAGAAAUGAGAAAGGGGAGAGACUGUCUUGUCUGUUUUCCUGAUCAGCUGUAACUUUGUCUUCAUUUUGCUUUUUCUUCAUUUGCUUUGUCUUCAUUUUGUUUUUCAACACAGUCUCUGGUGGUUUGUCUUGUCCAGUUUUAAACGAUCCGUGGGGUAAAAGUUGAGUAUUAGACAAAAGAGCACUAACUUUGUGGGAUAAAUAUUUGGAGAUAUAUAUUUUCAACAGAAAUCAGUGAGAAGAAAAAUGAGUAAGGUAGAAUCUAAUCAAUUACUCGAUCAUAUCCUUGCUUUUCUUAGGAAGCGGGUGCUUGAAGCUGGCUUCUUCUCUCAUUGCUCCUCAUGUGGUUAUGGAGCAAUUCCUCUAAGUAACUGCAAUCACCCCACUGGAAAACCAACACUUGUGAGAGCAGAGCUGAGUGCGAUGGCCACAUCUCUCCAAGAAAAGCAAGCAGCAGCCUUAGCUGAAGUAUUUUGGCCCCUUCACCAAGCAGCAGCAAAUUUUGAUGCUUUGUAGGUCGGGUUUCCUCUCUGAGAGCAGGAUACAGAGGUGCUGACUUGGGUAUUUCCUUAGGGUAAUGAGUCUAUUUAAAGUACGCACAGACACUUGCUGAUUACCACAAGGGUGGCUAUAAACAGCAUGCAGUCAAUUCUCCUUUGCACAAACAUCACUUGCCCCAAGAAACCAAUGCUUUGGCAUCCUUUCUUUUCAGGGUGCUCCCCAAACCCAGAGCAGCUGCUCAGGUACAUCCAACACCUUUUUUUUUUGCCUCCAUCCCAGCCUUUGACUGCGAGAAACCCUUCCCCGGGGCUGACCCCGUGGUGUGGAAAAGUGCCUGGAUCAUUAUGCCCAGCUUUUAUAUUGCUGCUUCAUUACACAAAGGGAAUUAAAUUCACAGGCAAAUAGGAGAGCUUCAACCUACAGUGUCCUUAACAAUUUUGUGUGCGUGGUUACUGCUUGGGAUUUUUAACUUUUCUGUGAAGAAAUUCAUCAGGGUGUGAUACAUCAUUUGCAAGUCAUUAACUCCUUUCACCAUAGCAAUACAUUUUCAAACAACAAUAGUGCUCUUCAUUGAAGCACUUAAAAAUAGCAUUCUAGUGCUAAAGGUUAUCCGGUGCCUUUCUACUGUAUAGCGUGUCCAUGACUAUAUAGUGUGUCUACUGUAUAGUGUGUCUGACAAUUUGCACUGCGUGUCAGUGAUUUAUUUGUGAAAUUCCUAGAGGGAAGGGACAACCUGUGUUAAAGUCUCAGUGCAUCAAAUUCAAUGAUGUGUAAUAAAAAAGGUAACAGUUGAUGAUGUAAACAUAUUGAGGAGGUCGUGAGGAAUAUGCUUUCUACCUCCAAAGAUGUUGAGAAUUGGUAUCUAAGGCCAAAUGAACUGGCAUCGUUGUUGCAAAGCUCAAAUAUUAUUUUAAUGCCAUCUGGGAGAGACUCACCAGGGUGGUGGGAGGAGAGAAAGAGGCUCACACUCAGUAGCACAUAGCAAGGGACUGGUGCUGCUCCCUGGCUCUACAGCAUUGCCACAGAUCUGACCUGGAUCUGACCCUAGGGUGAUACCCUGGCCUUACCCUGGUGCAGGACACUGGCCCGUAGCAGGGCUUUGCAAUGCUGACCCUCCUUAGGGCCUCAAAGCACCAACCAAUGGAACCCGUCAGUGCAGGAUUGUUUUCUAUUGAUGCAGGACAUGAACUGCUUCCAAUAAUUUUAACCUAGACUGCAGAUUUACACCAGCUGAAAACCUGGCUCCAAGCAGACUGCGAGGGAAUUUCCUUGACUUUUCUCCCCCUUCCCUUUAGAAAUGAAUUACUGCUGCAUGUUUUCCAUUUUCCUAUAAGCUUUCUAUCCAGUGACCCAAACACUCCAAAAUAAACACGUACAUUUCCUUCCUUGGUACUCUAUGUCAGGAUCUAUUUAACUGCCUCUGCAAAAGCAAGUGAUCCUAAAAAUCCCACAGUCGUGGUUAAACAGAAGUUUCCUUUAUUUGUAGAGCCAUCUCUGAGCAUACGCGCUACCCUUCAGCACGCAUUCACGUUCUUGCAGCGGUUAUAGGUGCAUUUCCUAGGGCUGCACACUGAUGCUGGACUCUAAGUGGCAUUAAACAAUUUUGAUAUAACUUAUUCCAGUUCAAGUCUGGAACAAAUGCAGCCGUUCCUGAUCAAUUCUGAGUGUGCGAGCUGAUAAAUAAAUGUACAGUGGAAUCUUCUGAAAUGAAAUGGGAUGAAAACUGAGUUACAGUGCAGCAAAGCAGGACCUACUAUCUCCAUGAUGGUGACCUUUGCUGAAAAUGCAAUUCUAGCAUUGGAGUGUGUGUAGGUGCGAGGAAACAGUUAUCUGUGCUGCUGCUGCCGGUGCUGCAGACACAUGCUACUUCUUUCUGUGUUUGUUUUUAUAUUAUCACGUGUAUUAUAGUAGCAACUAAAGGUCUAAACUGAGAUCAAAUAAUUGCUUUGCAGGUUGCUGUAAAACACAUGCAUUAAGGUAAGUGUAAUUGGUCUGGCUGGAGGUGUUGCGCAAGGACAGCAGAGCAGGAUGGUGAGGCAAGGGGCAGGAGCUGCGUGUGGGAAGACAUGCUGUUGCUGCUGCUGCACUGAAGAAGAAUCUGCUAUAAGGAGACAUGCUGGUAUCACCCUGCUUGUACCAUAACUCGCCAUGCUGCUGGAGGGUCUGGCCACAGGACUUGUCCCAGGUAGUUUACCUUCUACCAAGUGAGAGCACAAAAAUUAGUAUAUUCAUUCUUGGUUUUGGUUCACAAGAUAAUCUACUAAGAGUACAAGCAGGCUGUUUUAAGGGCUCUGUGACUGGGAACGUGGAUGAUGCUUGCCUCUCUCCCCACAUAAAAUCCCAUCACUGUGAUUUAGUGGUGUGGUAAAUGCACUGUGACCGCACAGAUUUUGGCGUUGGUGUGCAUGAACACUGAAGUCACGGGGAUUCCGUGCUGCCAACAUUUGGACAGCCCAACUGUGGGCCAUGUUCUAGCCCCAUUGCUGCAUAUGUGUGCCACUCAUGCAGGACCUCUUGCUGUGUGCAGGUUUUCUGGCUUUUCCAGCAACUGCAUCUCCUGGGCUGGCUCAUACCCCGACAGAGCCACCUCCCAAAUGCAGCAGUUUGUGAUGAAGGCUGCCCUGGGAUUCUGCUUUCAUUUUCCCAGGAGAGAUGGGGAAAUACAUCCUGUCCAAGACAUAUGUGAACAGCUACUUCUGCUGGAAUGCUUUCAACUUCUUUAAAAAAGACCCAUUAGGUCCUCAUGCACUGUCCUGAGCUGUAGCAACACGCCCAACCUAGAGGUCUAGGUAAAACAGGCAAAAGACCAUCAGGGUGGAAAAAAGGAUGUAGUUUCCAAAGCCCUGACAACAAUUUCUUUUUUCCUGAAGUAAAAAGUCUCCAGCAAAAGAGUAGCUGGAAAGAAAGAAAUUCAUUCUUUUUCUCCUUAUGCAACAUUUUAAUAUUUUUCCAUGUGUUUCUGAUUAUCUCAAGGAGAUGUAUAGUUUUACCACACUCCAGAGAAAGAAAACCCUUGGUGAGCUAGAAAUCAGCGAGGUCUCAAGGAUUUUAAUAAUACUCAGGGAUGUGUGUGAAGGCCAGUGAGUGAAGGCCAGCGAUGCUGAAGGGAAGGUGAAGCUAACGCAGAGCGAGACAUGUACAGGUGACAGAACUGCCAUUUCCUGAGAGCAGGACUGCGCUCCAGGUUCUGUUAAAAGGCAGGAUUAAUCCAGUGUUUGGCUCCAGUGUGGCUCCUGCCCUGGCUCAGCCACACAUGUAGAAUCCCUUCACUGCUGGCACAGCGCUUUAAGUAGGAGAGAUUUUUGCUGACUCUAACUGUUUUGCUUUGGGCAAAGUACAGGAUCUGAUCAGGCACUCAUCCUUCUCCCCAGAUCUCCCCAACUCAAGAAGGAGUCACAAAAUUCAUCAGGAGAGCAUCACCGAGCAGCCAGCCCUCACACAACACAAAAGACACAGAUUGUAGCAACAUGCAAGCUCUCUCUUUCCCCUUCACAUGUUGUCCUCAGUCCCAUAGGAGACAGAUCAGGUCCACAGAGCUGCAUAUCAGGGUGUCCUGGGUGAUGUGCUGCACCAACAAUAGGAGCUAAGUACCUAAGUGCUUGAUUUAGAGAGGCAGUUUGGACACAACGCUGAUUUUUCCAAGUGUUUUUGGGCCAAAUCCGAAGAAAGCCCAUUAACUUCAUUGGCUUUGGAUGAUGUCCCAUAUACACAAAACUUGAAGAAUGAUGCUUUAAAAGAAAUACCAGAGUUAAAUCGGGACAUUUUAACAAUUCUCUUUGUAUUUGAAUUUAGUGGCUGUAUGCUGACAAUGUAAUUAGCAAGAUGCUAUGUUAAUUAAUGCCAGAUGACAUUGGUGGGAUGGCAAAACAUCCAGUUUUCUGAAGAAUAGCUCACAGUUGAACUGUUCCUCUCUCCCCACCCCAUUUUUAGCAGAGGAACAUACUCAGAAAGUCAGAGACAGCUGAAUUAAACCAAAAGUCAAACCAUUUACAAAUAUUUAAAAUGUGGCCUAUCUCAGCACAUCGCUUGCAAGCCAAAUCUAAUCUUAUUGCAGAAAAAUAUAUUAACCUUCUCUCCUUAGACCCCGCAUACAGAAAAGGAGAAUUUGAAGAGCAUUGCGCAGUGGACAAAUCAGCUGUCACUGAAGCUGAAGGAGCAGAAUUGAGACCUGUCCUUCACAUAGCAGAGCAUUUGAACGGUAAUUUUCAGUUUAAGGAUUGUGGAUUUCUUGGGAUCAACCAGCUAAUUAGAAAAGAAUUUGCAGUAACAUGGAAAAAUACAUUCGCAUACAAUCUGAGUUCCUACAUGUUAAGCUUCAAUCUAUACGUGUAAAAAUUGUAAAUAAAUUUGAUAAGGCACAGAAAUUAACAUCACGUGAGAACUAUAGCGUGUAUCAUUUUAAUUCAUAUAUUUUCAAUUGCACGCAUAGAGAUAUUUAUCUAUGGAUAUGGAAACUUCUGUAUUUAAGUUCGUGGUCUUUUACUGUAUACCUCUUGGAAAUCCUGUCUUGAGUAGAAUUAGCGACUAUGAUUGCAUUCUACUGUGUCGAUGAGAAGAAUUUGUGCUGCUCUAGACGGGACUUCAAAUCUAGUGGUCUUACUAGCAGUAGGGCGGUAUAAUGAAGUUGGCAGGAUUUCCUUAGCAGUCUUUAUUUUCCUGAGAGGAGAGGCCAAAAUGGUAAAAACUAAAGGCUGGUACACCCCACACAGCAGAGCUGUCCCCAGUGCUGCUCAGGGGUGACACAUGGACUCGUAUCAGAGCCAAAUGACGUGCCUGCAUGAAACCAAAUGCACAGCCAAUACGAAUUCACACAGUCAGGUCAGGAACAUUGUCAUCCACACACCUUAC
ensembl:lncRNA